AGGUUUUUAGUUUAAGUAAAACUCUUGAUUUCGACUCAAAAACUCAUGGUUAAAGUCCAUGACUGCCUA
rnacentral:tRNA from 1 species